rnacentral:misc_RNA from 1 species
CGCACCUUGCGCUCCAUGGUAUUCCGUGGAGCAUGCCUGUUUGAGUGUCAUUACAACCAUCAAGCACAGAAGAGUGUGAAAACCUCUACUGCUGUUUGGAUUUGAGGGUUCUGCUGGCUUAGCUCGGCUCCUUCUAAAUGUAUGAGCGACCGCAAUUGAGUGUGUCCACUGGUGUAGUAAAUACAAUGCCAACGGUCUUGCUUGAAUGUGCUGCUUCUAAAAAACAAAUUAUACUGUGUAUUUUGACCUCAAAUCAGGUAGGACUACCCGCUGAACUUAA